UGGGGAAUAUUGCGCAAUGGGCGAAAGCCUGACGCAGCGACGCCGCGUGGAGGAUGAAGGUCUUCGGAUUGUAAACUUCUGUUAAGUGGGAAGAAAAAUUUGCGUUUAAUACACGCAAGGAAUGACGGUACCAUUAGAGAAAGCACCGGCUAACUUCGUGCCAGCAGCCGCGGUAAUACGAAGGGUGCAAGCGUUAUUCGGAUUUAUUGGGCGUAAAGGGUGCGUAGACGGUAUAUUAAGUCUAUUGUUAAAUCUUCUGGCCUAACCAGAAAUCUGCAGUAGAUACUGAUGUGCUAGAGGGUGGAAGAGAGAAGUGGAAUUCUCGGAGUAGCGGUAAAAUGCGUAGAUCUCGAGAGGAACACCAAUGGCGAAGGCAGCUUCUUGGUCCACACCUGACGUUGA
rnacentral:rRNA from 1 species